rnacentral:lncRNA from 1 species
CUUCCCUACAUCCCACUUUUUACUAACAUUAUACUUUAACAUGAACAUAAAUGUACGAAACUAAUAUCCAAAUUUAACGUUUUCAGAUGUAAAAAUAUAACAAGAAUGAACUUCAACCACAGAAGAAAAAGUAAUUGUAAAAACAUAGUGAACAUCGCGGCUAAAUGACAUAAGUCAUAGCCUUAAAAGAAUAAUAAAAAAAACGCAAUAGCACCAGCACCUAGCACUAGCACUAAUGAGUAGUGAUGACUGUUGACUAUUAUAAUACUCAAGAUUAGCGUUGUAGUCAAGAAUUGGCUUGAUUGGAAAAUGAGAAAUUUUAUUGAACUGAAUGUACAGAAGUGGGAGUCCAAGGGAAGGUCGAAGGGCAUCAACCGGCCCAGGUACUGGUAUCCAAGACCCAACCCAAUGAGCCUUAGAAGUCUGAUCUGCAGCCGUUCAAGAAGGGCAAUAUGUCCAAGUUGGUAAGGACACCAGACAACGGAAGAGUACUCCAGGACCGGUCUGACUAUGGACUGAGAGUGGCCAGUGUAAAUGGAGAACGAAAAUCUCUUGACGUUCGACACAAGAAUCCAAGUAGCGGUUGUGAAAAAUAUCUAUUUACCAUGCCUAAUUUGAAAUGUAAAUAUUAAUUAGUAGUUAUAUUUAUGUAUUGUGUUUCUUGUGAUAUAUAAAUUUCAUUGUUAUCUGAUCCCAGUAGCAAAUCUGGGCUUACAGUAUAAGCGGUCAGCAUCAUAAUCGAAUCAUGAUUAUCGAAUAGAAUUAUGUAAACUAUUGAAUACAACUAGGUACUAGUGACAGGCCUUUUCUUAAAAGGUCUAAAUGAAAAAAACAUCUUUUAUUUUGUCAUUCCGGCCGUUAAGUUCACAAUUACCUUUUCUACACUUUUAGAAGAUCCUAGAAGCUCAGUAGCAAACACAACACAUCAUGAAUAUAAAAUGGUUAAUUGUGAUGACAAAACACAAAGAAUGUCUUUAUUAUUACUAAGCAGCAAUCACAAAACUGGAAAAAAAUCAUGAGAUGCCCAAAUAAGACGCUUAUUGGCAAACAAUACAGAAUGCAGAAAUAAAAACGAUAAUCGAACUUCAAUCCUCAUAUACAGUUGGUAGCCCUACUCUGACCUCUAAUUCUUGUAAUGUUUGUCCGUGGAUAUUGGAAUCCUAAUUAUCCCCUCCACCAAUGCCUCCCCCUCCGUAGCUUGUUAUUCUUUUCCAUCCCUAAACCUCAAUUCCUCUCUGUCCCCUAGAUGUGGUAUAUAACAAAUUUGAAACAUAUUAUCGAUUAUUGUGCAAUAUAUGUAUCGUGACCAUCUAAAAACCCUUUCUGGAAAUAAAAACAUUCUACUUUAAGAAAUUGAUAAAAAUGGUUUUUGAACUUUAUAGCUAAUAUGGCCAAAGUAAACAAUAUUUGUUGUAAAUUACAUUUGACAAAUUUUUAAUAAGCAGCCUACACUCGCUAGGUUGUUAUUAUCGAAAAAAUGAAUGAAUAUAUUAUCCAACUUCGAUGUUAUUUAAUAAUCUUAUAUAGCAAAGAAUUAUGAUACAUUAACAAUAAGAAUAACUCAUUACCAUUAAAAAAUCAUUUUAACAAUAACAGUUAACCUUUGAAGUGCUGGUUUGAACUAUCUCAAGUUCUAAGCAUUUUUAGCAUGUUAUUAUGCGUUUAUAAAGGUUUUUUUUAUACUGUAAACCUAACAGAAAUAGUACAAUCAUAUAGCUAUAUUUUCAGGAAAGAAUAAGAUAAUAAUUCUUAUAGGACUUACCUUUAUAUGAUAAAAUAUUUCUGAAUAUAAAUUAAUACAAAGAAACUUUUUUUCACUUAAAUUUCAGAUAUCACUUUAUCGAUAUAAUAUAUAUAUAUAUAUAUAUAUAUAUAAAAUAAAAAUCCAACGUAUAAAAUUUAUAAUUACUUUUUUAUAAUGAACACAAACAUAUUUACAUCUUAUGGGUUCACAUCUUGAAAAAAAAAAAAACAAAAAACAAAAACACCAAGAGUAAAAACUUGUCACACAUAAAAAAACCACUAAUAUCUGUUAAUUUAUAUGUUACGUGUAGUCUUAUUUCGCUUUCACGUCUCAAAAUGUGUUCAGUUCACA